CCUAGAUAAAGGUCCACUAGGUCCAGAGGCAGGACCAGCUAUGGCUUGUUCCACAAUUUCUGUGGACUUAUGUAAUACAGAAAAAGCUGAGUCCAAAGAUGCCAACUAGUUUAACUAAUUCCAAAUGUUUACAGUAAAACCAUAUAUACACAGUCUCUAGAUUUUGUGGAUUUCUCCAUCUUAUUGAUUACAGUUCACAAAGGAGACCACACCUGGUGCAGAGGAGGUGAAGCCACAGGACUUUGGCAGGGGCGGAGGUGACAGGGGGAGCGAUAGAGAGAAGGGUUGUGACUGUGAAGGGGACAGGAAAUGAG